UAAUACAUGCAAGUCGAGCGGACAGAUGGGAGCUUGCUCCCUGAUGUUAGCGGCGGACGGGUGAGUAACACGUGGGUAACCUGCCUGUAAGACUGGGAUAACUCCGGGAAACCGGGGCUAAUACCGGAUGCUUGAUUGAACCGCAUGGUUCAAUUAUAAAAGGUGGCUUUUAGCUACCACUUACAGAUGGACCCGCGGCGCAUUAGCUAGUUGGUGAGGUAACGGCUCACCAAGGCAACGAUGCGUAGCCGACCUGAGAGGGUGAUCGGCCACACUGGGACUGAGACACGGCCCAGACUCCUACGGGAGGCAGCAGUAGGGAAUCUUCCGCAAUGGACGAAAGUCUGACGGAGCAACGCCGCGUGAGUGAUGAAGGUUUUCGGAUCGUAAAACUCUGUUGUUAGGGAAGAACAAGUACCGUUCGAAUAGGGCGGUACCUUGACGGUACCUAACCAGAAAGCCACGGCUAACUACGUGCCAGCAGCCGCGGUAAUACGUAGGUGGCAAGCGUUGUCCGGAAUUAUUGGGCGUAAAGCGCGCGCAGGCGGUUUCUUAAGUCUGAUGUGAAAGCCCCCGGCUCAACCGGGGAGGGUCAUUGGAAACUGGGGAACUUGAGUGCAGAAGAGGAGAGUGGAAUUCCACGUGUAGCGGUGAAAUGCGUAGAGAUGUGGAGGAACACCAGUGGCGAAGGCGACUCUCUGGUCUGUAACUGACGCUGAGGCGCGAAAGCGUGGGGAGCGAACAGGAUUAGAUACCCUGGUAGUCCACGCCGUAAACGAUGAGUGCUAAGUGUUAGAGGGUUUCCGCCCUUUAGUGCUGCAGCAAACGCAUUAAGCACUCCGCCUG
rnacentral:rRNA from 1 species